rnacentral:misc_RNA from 1 species
GUUAAAAGAUACUUGUAUUAACCACAAAGUGCAGCAUAUAUAUAAUACCUAGGUAUACAGAACCACUUCUCCGUCAGAAACUAGUGCAGCAUAGCCAGUAAUAUAAAUAAUCGAAUGUGUAGCAUAUGUAGCAUAAUAAAUCCACGCAGAUUAACUGCAACGUGCAGUAUGACAGUAUACAUGUAUAAUGUGUAUACGUCAAGCAUAGCCGUUCAUAUAAAAUAACCGUUAAAUUUCAUGUAUUCUGUGUACGGUAAUGUACCAGGUUUAAAGUUCAGCGUAGCUAAAUAUAUGGAUUAAGAAUCUACGACAAAAAGUGGCAAAGUUUUAUAUGGAAGAAUAUUUGUACAUGUAUAAAUUGCUGCUCAGUGCUGCUGAAGAAAGACAUUUGUGAAUGUGAAGUCAUCUCGGAUACUCAGGGAAGAUAAUGAUUUGAAUCGUUCUUGAGAAAUUUUUUUAUACAUGUAUUUACUUUAUUCAGUGCAUGCAAUUGAUUUGCUUUUAUCUUGACAUUAAAUUAUUUUUAAUAG